AGACGAACCGUCCAAACGUUAUUCGGAAUUACUGGGCGUAAAGGGUGCGUAGACGGCGCAUUAAGUCUGUUGUUAAAUUUUUCGGCCUAACCGAAAAGCUGCGACGGAAACUGAUGUGCUAGAGAAUGAGAGAGAGAAGUGGAAUUCCCGGAGUAGCGGUAAAAUGCGUGGAUCUCGGGAGGAACACCAAUGGCGAAGGCAGCUUCUUGGCUCAUUUCUGAUGUUGAGGCACGAAAGCGUGGGGAGCAAACAGGAUUAGAUACCCCGGUAGUCC
rnacentral:rRNA from 1 species